CAGUCGCCGCGGUAAUACGAAGGGGGCUAGCGUUACUCGGAAUUACUGGGCGUAAAGGGCGCGUAGGCGGCACGAUUAGUCAGGCGUGAAAUUCCUGGGCUCAACCUGGGGACUGCGCUUGAUACGGUCGAGCUAGAGGAUGGAAGAGGGUCGUGGAAUUCCCAGUGUAGAGGUGAAAUUCGUAGAUAUUGGGAAGAACACCGGUGGCGAAGGCGGCGACCUGGUCCAUUACUGACGCUGAGGCGCGACAGCGUGGGGAGCAAACAGGAUUAGAUACCCCCGUAGUCCCUGUCUCUUAUAC
rnacentral:rRNA from 1 species